rnacentral:rRNA from 1 species
CGUAGGGUGCAAGCGUUAAUCGGAAUUACUGGGCGUAAAGCGUGCGCAGGCGGUUUGUAAGACAGACGUGAAAUCCCGGGCUCAACCUGGGAAUGGCGUUUGUGACUGUAAAGCUGGAGUGCGGCAGAGGGGGAUGGAAUUCCGCGUGUAGCAGUGAAAUGCGUAGAUAUGCGGAGGAACACCGAUGGCGAAGGCAAUCCCCUGGGCCUGCACUGACGCUCAUGCACGAAAGCGUGGGGAGCAAACAGGAUUAGAUACCCUGGUAGUCCACGCCCUAAACGAUGUCAACUGGUUGUUGGGUCUCUUCUGACUCAGUAACGAAGCUAACGCGUGAAGUUGACCGCCUGGGGAGUACGGCCGCAAGGUUG